rnacentral:rRNA from 1 species
CCCUACGGGGGGCAGCAGUAGGGAAUCUUCCACAAUGGGCGAAAGCCUGAUGGAGCAACGCCGCGUGGGUGAAGAAGGUCUUCGGAUCGUAAAACCCUGUUGUUAGAGAAGAAAGUGCGUGAGAGUAACUGUUCACGUUUCGACGGUAUCUAACCAGAAAGCCACGGCUAACUACGUGCCAGCAGCCGCGGUAAUACGUAGGUGGCAAGCGUUAUCCGGAUUUAUUGGGCGUAAAGGGAACGCAGGCGGUCUUUUAUGUCUGAUGUGAAAGCCUUCGGCUUAACCGGAGUAGUGCAUUGGAAACU